AGAGUUUGAUCAUGGCUCAGAUUGAACGCUGGCGGCAUGCCUUACACAUGCAAGUCGAACGGCAGCACGGGUGCUUGCACCUGGUGGCGAGUGGCGAACGGGUGAGUAAUACAUCGGAACGUACCUUAUCGUGGGGGAUAACGCAGCGAAAGCUGUGCUAAUACCGCAUACGCCCUGAGGGGGAAAGCGGGGGAUCGAAAGACCUCGCGCGAUUAGAGCGGCCGAUGCCUGAUUAGCUUGUUGGUGGGGUAAAAGCCCACCAAGGCGACGAUCAGUAGCUGGUCUGAGAGGACGAUCAGCCACACUGGGACUGAGACACGGCCCAGACUCCUACGGGAGGCAGCAGUGGGGAAUUUUGGACAAUGGGGGAAACCCUGAUCCAGCAAUGCCGCGUGAGUGAAGAAGGCCUUCGGGUUGUAAAGCUCUUUUGUCAGGGAAAGAAACACCGGCUCUAACACAGUCCGGGAAUGACGGUACCUGAAGAAUAAGCACCGGCUAACUACGUGCCAGCAGCCGCGGUAAUACGUAAGGUGCGAGCGUUAAUCGGAAUUACUGGGCGUAAAGCGUGCGCAGCGGUUAUACAAGACAGGCGUGAAAUCCCCUGGCUUAACCUGGGAAUGGCGCCUGUGACUGUAUAAGCUAGAAGUGUGUCAGAUGGGGUAGAAUACCACGUGUAGCAGUGAAAUGCGUAGAAUAUGUGGAGGAAUACCAAUGUCGAAAGGAGCCCCCUGGGAUAACACUUGACGCUCUUGCACCGAAAGCCUGGGGGAGCAAACAGGAUUAGAUAUACCCUGGUAGUCCACGCCCUUAACGAGGCUGAC
rnacentral:rRNA from 1 species